GCCGGGCAUGGUGGUGCAUGCCUGUAAUCCCAGCUACUGGGGAGGCUGAGGCAGGAGAAUCACUUGAACCCAGGAGGCGGAGGUUGCAGUGAGCCAAGAUCGCACCAUUGCACUCCAGCCUGGGUGACAGAGUGAGACCCUGUCUCAA
ensembl:misc_RNA Metazoa_SRP Metazoan signal recognition particle RNA